UAACACAUGCAAGUCGAACGGAAAGGCUCCCUCGGGGAGUACUCGAGUGGCGAACGGGUGAGUAACACGUGGGUAACCUGCNUAGACUGGGGGACAACCCGGGGAAACCCGGGCUAAUACCCCAUACGAUCUGGAUCCCUGGAUCCAGUAUGAAAGGUAGCUUCGGCUGCCGGUCUUGGUGGGCCCGCGGCGGAUUAGCUUGUUGGUGAGGUAACGGCUCACCAAGGCACGAUCCGUAGCUGGUCUGAGAGGACGAUCAGCCACACUGGGACUGCCAACGGCCCAGACUCCUACGGGAGGCAGCAGUGGGGAAUCUUGCGCAAUGGCGAAAGCCUGACGCAGCAACGCCGCGUGAGGGAAGACGGCCUUCGGGUUUAAACCUCUUUCAGCAGGGACGAAG
rnacentral:rRNA from 1 species